rnacentral:tRNA from 1 species
GGUGAUAUAGCUCAGUUGGUAGAGUGUUUGCCUCACAUGCAGCACAAGGUCCUGGGCUCAAUCCCCAGCACCA